rnacentral:rRNA from 1 species
GGGUUGUGAGGUUAAGCGACUAAGCGUACACGGUGGAUGCCCUGGCAGUCAGAGGCGAUGAAGGACGUGCUAAUCUGCGAAAAGCGUCGGUAAGGUGAUAUGAACCGUUAUAACCGGCGAUGUCCGAAUGGGGAAACCCAGUGCAAUUCGUUGCACUAUCGUUAACUGAAUACAUAGGUUAACGAGGCGAACCGGGGGAACUGAAACAUCUAAGUACCCCGAGGAAAAGAAAUCAACCGAGAUUCCCCCAGUAGCGGCGAGCGAACGGGGAGCAGCCCAGAGUCUGAAUCAGCUUGUGUGUUAGUGGAACGGUCUGGAAAGUCCGACGGUACAGGGUGAUAGUCCCGUACACCAAAAUGCACAGGCUGUGAACUCGAAGAGUAGGGCGGGACACGUGGUAUCCUGUCUGAAUAUGGGGGGACCAUCCUCCAAGGCUAAAUACUCCUGACUGACCGAUAGUGAACCAGUACCGUGAGGGAAAGGCGAAAAGAACCCCGGCGAGGGGAGUGAAAAAGAACCUGAAACCGUGUACGUACAAGCAGUGGGAGCACCUUCGGGUGUGACUGCGUACCUUUUGUAUAAUGGGUCAGCGACUUAUAUUCUGUAGCAAGGUUAACCGUAUAGGGGAGCCGCAGGGAAACCGAGUCUUAACUGGGCGUUAAGUUGCAGGGUAUAGACCCGAAACCCGGUGAUCUAGCCAUGGGCAGGUUGAAGGUUGGGUAACACUAACUGGAGGACCGAACCGACUAAUGUUGAAAAAUUAGCGGAUGACUUGUGGCUGGGGGUGAAAGGCCAAUCAAACCGGGAGAUAGCUGGUUCUCCCCGAAAGCUAUUUAGGUAGCGCCUCGUGAACUCAUCUUCGGGGGUAGAGCACUGUUUCGGCUAGGGGGUCAUCCCGACUUACCAACCCGAUGCAAACUACGAAUACCGAAGAAUGUUAUCACGGGAGACACACGGCGGGUGCUAACGUCCGUCGUGAAGAGGGAAACAACCCAGACCGCCAGCUAAGGUCCCAAAGUCAUGGUUAAGUGGGAAACGAUGUGGGAAGGCACAGACAGCCAGGAUGUUGGCUUAGAAGCAGCCAUCAUUUAAAGAAAGCGUAAUAGCUCACUGGUCGAGUCGGCCUGCGCGGAAGAUGUAACGGGGCUAAACCAUGCACCGAAGCUGCGGCAGCGACACUAUGUGUUGUUGGGUAGGGGAGCGUUCUGUAAGCCUGCGAAGGUGUGCUGUGAGGCAUGCUGGAGGUAUCAGAAGUGCGAAUGCUGACAUAAGUAACGAUAAAGCGGGUGAAAAGCCCGCUCGCCGGAAGACCAAGGGUUCCUGUCCAACGUUAAUCGGGGCAGGGUGAGUCGACCCCUAAGGCGAGGCCGAAAGGCGUAGUCGAUGGGAAACAGGUUAAUAUUCCUGUACUUGGUGUUACUGCGAAGGGGGGACGGAGAAGGCUAUGUUAGCCGGGCGACGGUUGUCCCGGUUUAAGCAUGUAGGCUGGUUAUCCAGGCAAAUCCGGAUAACCAAGGCUGAGGUGUGAUGACGAGGCACUACGGUGCUGAAGUAACAAAUGCCCUGCUUCCAGGAAAAGCCUCUAAGCAUCAGGUAACAUCAAAUCGUACCCCAAACCGACACAGGUGGUCAGGUAGAGAAUACCAAGGCGCUUGAGAGAACUCGGGUGAAGGAACUAGGCAAAAUGGUGCCGUAACUUCGGGAGAAGGCACGCUGGUGUGUAGGUGAAGCC